rnacentral:sRNA from 1 species
GAUGCCAGGGGCAAAAGGUCAAAAUCCGUCUGUGCCUGCACAGAGGCGGAUGGAUGAUCUUUUGCCCCGCCAGAAUAUGAGAAAGAAGUGGGGCAGGGGCCCCAUGAAUUCCGAAUAUUUGGCAGGAUUGUGAGAGUGCGCAGCACGGAACAAUCCGCUGGCA